rnacentral:rRNA from 1 species
CCUACGGGAGGCAGCAGUGGGGGAUAUUGCACAAUGGGCGCAAGCCUGAUGCAGCGACGCCGCGUGAGCGAAGAAGUAUUUCGGUAUGUAAAGCUCUAUCAGCAGGGAAGAGAAUGACGGUACCUGACUAAGAAGCUCCGGCUAACUACGUGCCAGCAGCCGCGGUAAUACGUAGGGGGCAAGCGUUAUCCGGAUUUACUGGGUGUAAAGGGGGCGCAGACGGCAGUGCAAGCCUGGAGUGAAAGCCCGUGGCUCAACCCCGGGACUGCUCUUGGAACUGCAUAGCUGGAGUACAGGAGGGGCAG